AUUGAACGCUGGCGGCAUGCCUUACACAUGCAAGUCGAACGGUAACAGGUCUUCGGAUGCUGACGAGUGGCGAACGGGUGAGUAAUACAUCGGAACGUGCCCGAGAGUGGGGGAUAACGAAGCGAAAGCUUUGCUAAUACCGCAUACGAUCUCAGGAUGAAAGCAGGGGACCGCAAGGCCUUGCGCUCACGGAGCGGCCGAUGGCAGAUUAGGUAGUUGGUGGGAUAAAAGCUUACCAAGCCGACGAUCUGUAGCUGGUCUGAGAGGACGACCAGCCAAACUGGGACUGGGACACGGCCCAGACUCCUACGGGAGGCAGCAGUGGGGAAUUUUGGACAAUGGGCGCAAGCCUGAUCCAGCCAUGCCGCGUGCAGGAUGAAGGCCUUCGGGUUGUAAACUGCUUUUGUACGGAACGAAAAGACUCCUUCUAAUAAAGGGGGUCCAUGACGGUACCGUAAGAAUAAGCACCGGCUAACUACGUGCCAGCCGCCGCGGUAAAAC
rnacentral:rRNA from 1 species